rnacentral:rRNA from 1 species
CGUCGGGACGAUAAGGGCGUAGGGUGGAUGCCUAGGCACCAAAUGCCGAUGAAGGACGCUGCAGACGGCGAUACGCCUCGGGGAGCUGUCAAGCAAGCUAUGAUCCGGGGAUAUCCGAAUGGGGAAACCCGGCGUCGUGUUGAGCGACGUCACCGCCAGGCUUUUUGUCUGGAGGAGGGCACCCGGCGAAGUGAAACAUCUCAGUAGCCGGAGGAAAAGAAAACAAGUUGGACUACGUUUGACUGUUGCGGGUCUCGUGCGCAAGUGCGAGCCCCACGACCGUCAUCCGUGGUCUGAUCAUUCCCCAAGUAGUGGCGAGCGAACGGGGAGCAGCCAAAACCACAUGAGAGGAGCCACGCGAAACUCGCGCCUGCCGCAAGGCAGGUUGCGACGAGUAGUGUGACUCGUCCGGGACGGGAGUAUCUCACGUGGGGUUAUCGCGUGAUCGGUUGGGUCCGUCCAGAGACCCAGAUUGGAGACUACACCCGCGAGGGUGAUGACACCUAGUCGAAUCCCCCUGGAACGGGGAGCCAGAGCAGGUGAGAGCCCUGUAGGCGAAAGGAGUCAUGCUCCAGUGCGGUCAUCGCGUAAGUAAGGCGGGACUCGUGAAAUCCCGUUUGAAAUCGGGGCGACUACGCUCCAAGGCUAAAUACAUUUGGUGACCGAUAGUGAACCAGUACCGUGAGGGAAAGGUGAAAAGCAGCCCGGUGAGGGCAACGAAAAGACCUGAAACCCUACGCUUACAAGGAGUGGGAGCUCGGCCGAUGCGCGGCAUCGGGAUAUCGAAAUAUCGACAUAUCGAAAUUUCGAGUUCCGCUGCCGCGCAGCGGUGGGUGACCGCGUGCCUAUUGAAGAAUGAGCCAGUGAGUUUGUUGACGUUGCUCGUCAAAGGCCUACGGGCCGAAGGCAGAGGGAAACCGAGUCUCAAUAGGGCGUCGCUCGACAUAUCGAGAUGUAAAAGUUUCGACAUGUCGAGUCGGCAGCGUCAACAAGACCCGAAACCGGGUGAGCUAGCCAUGGGCAGGGUGAAGUUCGAGUAAAAUCGAGCGGAGGCCCGAACCCGUAUGUCGUGCAACGCAUUGGGAUGACCUGUGGCUAGAGGAGAAAUUCCAAUCGAACUCGGUGAUAGCUGGUUCUCCCCGAAAUAGCUUGAGGGCUAGCGCGUUGGUGGCCCCUGGGGGUAGAGCACUGAAUGGGGAACGGUGGAGUGAUCCUACGUUUCCCAACCAAACUCCGAAUACCAGGCAAGUUAUACCAGCGUAGUCAGUACGUGGGGGCGAAGCUCCACGGCACAAAAGGGAAACAGCCCAGAUCUCCAGCUAAGGCCCUGAAAUCUCGACUCAGUGGGAAAGGCGGUGGGACGGCGCAGACAACCAGGAGGUUGGCUUAGAAGCAGCCAUCCUUUAAAGAAAGCGUAACAGCUCACUGGUCAAGCUGUUCUGCACCUAAAAUUUAACGGGGCUAAGUCGAGUGCCGAAGCUGAGAAUCGUACCUCGAGCGAUCGAGGUACGGUGGUAGGGGAGCGUUCCCUGCUGCGGUGAAGCCGGACCCGUGAGGGCUGGUGGAGCGCAGGGAAGUGAGAAUGCUGGCAUGAGUAGCGAUAAGGAGAGUGAGAACCUCUCCCACCGUAAACCCAAGGUUUCCUGGGCAACGAAAAUCGACCCAGGGUCAGGCGGACCUAAGGUGAGUCCUCGCGGUAACGUGAGGGGUAGCCGAUGGACAGCAGGCGAACAUUCCUGCCCUCCCCUGCCGUUGUUGUUGGAUGACGCUUCGUCGUAGUGAGCGGGUGUUUUGGCUAUACAUCUGUCUGUCGCCGUAAGGCGGUGGACGCAGGUGAAACCGCAAGGUGGAACCAAUGCUCGUGAAGGCGGAGUCGAGAAAAGUCCAACGGCGUUAACGGCUGGGGAUCCGUACCGGAAACCGACACAGGUGGGUGGGCACAAGUGUGCCAAGGUGUACGGGAGAACCCUCGUGAAGGAACUCGGCAAACUAAUGGCCGUAACUUCGGGAUAAGGCCUGCCCGCCGCAAGGCGGGCCGCAGCAAACGACGCCAAGCGACUGUUUACCAAAAACACAGGUCCCUGCGAAAUCGUAAGAUGAUGUAUAGGGGCUGAUGCCUGGCCAGUGUCAGAACGUUAAGGAGAGAGGUGAAAUCCGCAAGGACGUAGCCUUGAACUGAAGCGCUGAUGAACGCCGGCGGUAACCAUAACCGUCCUAAGGUGGAAUCGCUGCCUUAGUGGGGUGAAAGACCCCCUCCGAACUUCGUGUGCCAACGGAGACGUAGGAGAAAAUCUGGCUAUAUGCUGGAACACCCGCGCAAUGUCACCGUACCCAACGCGGUAACAAUCGGUGACCGAAGCGGGCAAUCAGCAGGAAAGACCUCCGAUGGACAUCGGGGGAAUCCUCAGAGACUAUAUGCCGGACCCGUCACAACCUCGAGAGGUUGGCGGGAAGAUAGAGUCCGACCUGCAUGGCGACAUGCAGAGCGCGGCAGAAAUGACUGCGCCACCCGCCUGACAGUCACGCGGUGACUCUCGGCGUGGGAGCAACAACUCGAGCGUAAUCCCCUGCCGGGUGAGUUCCGGCCCGCACGAAUGGCACAACGACUUGGCGACUGUCUCCACGAGGGACCCGGCGAAAUUGCAAGGGGCGUGAAGAUGCGCUCUACCCGCGGCUGGACGAAAAGACCCUGUGAAGCUUUACUGCAGCUUGCUCUUGGGUACACACUCCGCUUGUUCAGUGUAGGUGGGAGGACCGUCGCAAGACGGCCCAACAAUGAGACACCACCCUUGCGCUGCGUGUAUUCUAAUCUCAUGCCGUUAUCCGGCGAGAGAGACAGGAGCUGGUAGGCAGUUUGACUGGGGCGGUUGCCUCCUAAAAGGUAACGGAGGCGUUCACAAAGGUCAGCUUAGCGCGGAUGGAAAUCGCGCUGGACCUGCAAGCGGACAAGCUGGCUUUACUGCAAGGCCGACACGCCGAGCAGUCACGAAAGUGGGAGCUAGUGAUCCGACCGUUCGAAGUAGGACGGCGGAAGCUCAUCGGAUAAAAGCUACUCCAGGGAUAACAGGCUGAUCUGGCCCGAGCGUCCACAGCGACGGCCAGGUUUGGCACCUUAACACAUCGGGGUGCUCUCGAAGCGAUUCGAGACCAACAAUUCGGCUUAUAACGGUGGAACCGUCAGCGGCAUACUGUAUGAGUAUGCUGCUCGGCAAUACCGUGGGAAGUCCUCCGAUGACCAUCGGAGUGACCCCGUAACGACUGACCCGAAAGGGGAGGUUCAGCGUAUGCUGAACAACACGCCGACACUCGUCAUCCCAAACCGAGACUACGCACCGAACAUGCUACGGUCCGGGACGAGUUGAAGAUAUAGUCUGUGCCACACGAAAGUGUGGAAUCGAAGUCCGACAGCGAUGUCGGCUCAUCGCAUCCUGGGGGUGAAGAAGCUCCCAAGGGUUAGGCUGUUCGCCUAUUAAAGCGGUACGUGAGCUGGGUUCAGAACGUCGUGAGACAGUGGAGUAAUUUGGCUCAACCGAGCCAAACCGCGCUGUCUAUAAAUUCGACUAAAUGCUGGAAACUCUGGCAGCAUUCUCACCGGGAGUGGGAGUGCUAAGAAUCUCACACUACGUGGUACCAUGAAGCUGUGUGCCACGUGAAAAUGUGUUGAGUGCAGACAAUCAGCAGGGAAGGUUACGUAAACGUCUAGAACCAUGGUACGUUGCGGGAUUCGUUGAUGGUGAAGGAAGCUUUCAUAUCGCACUCUAUGAGGAUCCGAGGAUGAAGACCGGAUGGAAAGCCAUUCCGGAAUUCCAUGUCUCGCAGCGGCAAUCGAGCCGCUCCGUACUUGAUGACCUCGUCGAGUUCUUCGGAUGCGGAUAUGUGAAGCCAAACCACGCGAAGAAUCCCAGAGACGUUACCUUCGUGUAUGUCGUGAGGAACCGCGACGAUCUCCUCACGAAAAUCAUACCGUUCUUCGAGCGCCACUCGUUGAAGACGGAGAAAUCCGCCGACUUCGGUUGGUUUGCGAAGGUGGUUCAGAUGAUGGCGAACGAUAUGCACCUGACGAAAUCAGGAAUGGAGCGCAUUAUUGCAGCGGCAUAUCGGAUGAACGGCGCAGGACGUUAUCGGCGUCGUGCCACAAUGACCGUUACGUAAAACCCUCAGAGACUAUACGUCGAACCCGUCGGAAGACGGUGAAGAUAUAGUCCGAACUGCAUGGCGACAUGCAGAGUGCGGCAGAAAUGCCCGCACCAUCCGCCUGGGGCGGAUUGCAACAAUGUUGUCGGUCUCCUAUCCACCGCGGGCGUUCGAGACUUGAGGGGACUCUUUCCUAGUACGAGAGGACCGGAAAGGAUCGACCUCUGGUGUACCAGUUGUCCUGCCAAGGGCACUGCUGGGUAGCUAUCGUCGAGUGCGGAUAAACGCUGAAAGCAUCUAAGCGUGAAGCCGUUCCCAAGAUAAGGUCUCGUUGAGCCCCCCGGGAGAUUACCGGGUAUACAGGCAGUAGGUGUACGGCCCGUAAGGGCUUUAGCCGAGCUGUACUGAUAGGGCGAUGUCCCGACGGA